rnacentral:rRNA from 1 species
AUUGAACGCUGGCGGAAUGCUUUACACAUGCAAGUCGAACGGCAGCACGGACUUCGGUCUGGUGGCGAGUGGCGAACGGGUGAGUAAUAUAUCGGAACGUGCCCAGUCGUGGGGGAUAACGUAGUGAAAAUUACGCUAAUACCGCAUACGAUCUAAGGAUGAAAGCGGGGGAUCGCAAGACCUCGCGCGAUUGGAGCGGCCGAUAUCAGAUUAGGUAGUUGGUGGGGUAAAGGCUCACCAAGCCAACGAUCUGUAGCUGGUCUGAGAGGACGACCAGCCACACUGGAACUGAGACACGGUCCAGACUCCUACGGGAGGCAGCAGUGGGGAAUUUUGGACAAUGGACGCAAGCCUGAUGCAGCAACGCCGCGUGAGGGACGACGGCCUUCGGGUUGUAAACCUCUUUUUCUACGGGUAGGAAGUUCAAAUGACGUGUACC